GUUUCCUAGGGUGUGUUUCGGAGUCUGGAGGACCCCUGAUUCCAGACGUUGGUGUUUAAAAGUUAAGGCGAAUGUGGAAACACCCGAGGGGAACUUUCUCAUGCAUUAGCGCACCUCGAGGUGGGAGGGGAAGCGGUGACUGUCCUCCCUCCACCAGCCGUCGCGGGAACCCGUGGGGUUCAGUGAAGGGUCCAGCAGUUCAGGUGCCCGCCCCGGGCCUGGGCCUUGGCUCCGGGCUACAGUGUGAGAUCCCGGGCUAGGUGGCCCGCCUGGGGCAGGUCGCCGGGACAACCCCACCGCCCCGCAAGUCCAGCCCGGCCUCGGGCACGGUAGGGUUUGCGGUUAAGCUUGUGACCUUUAGACUUCUGAAUAUUCAUAUGUAUGAAAUGUGAUAUACAUAAAAGUGUGCAUAUCAGGAAUUUACAGUGAUUAAUGACCAGAGUGAACACAGCUGCGUAGCCGACACCGGGAUCCAAAACACCGCUAUUCUGAAAGCCUCCCUCUUUCCCAAAAGGCAACCGCGAACUCAACACUACAAAUUCGGUUUGCUUGCUUUUGCUAUAAAUAGAAUCAUGCAGUAUGCUUUUUUUUUUGGCCUAGUUUCAUGGAGUCUAUAUUAUGUCUGGAGUCCAUCCAGGUUGCAUACAGAGAUGGUUUGUUUGCUUUUGCUGCUGAAGAGAAUUCCAUUGUAUAUAUUAUACCAUAAAUUACUUAUUCUGCUGUUGAUAGACAUCAAAGUUGUUUUCAGUUAGGGCUAUUCUGAGUAAUGCUACUAUGAAUUUUCUGUUCUGCAAUCCACCCGGAGAUGAUUCUCCUUGAACUUUUAUUGAAGUAUGAUAUACAUAUAGAAGAAUGCAAACUGAACACACCCAACCAACUAGCAUCCUCGUAAGAACAGGACAUUGCCACAUUCCAGAAGCCCUCCUCCUGUCUUCAUCUAGUCACCACCCUUGCCCCAAGGGUAACCAUUAUCCUGCCAUCUUGUAUAGAUUUGCUUUAUCUAGUUUUGUAUUUAUGCAAAUGAAGUACCUUGCAUAUUUUUUGCUAAACAUUAUGUUUGUGUGUAGAUGUAGUUAAUCUAUUCUCACUGUAAUAUGGUAUUUCAUUGUGGAUGUUUUACAAUUUACUUAUCCAUUCUGCUGUUGAUGAACAUUUGGGUAAUUUUCACUCUUUUAUAUUAUAAAUAGUGUACCUACAAACUCAAUAAUAUAUAUCUUUAUGUGAACACAUAUACUGAUAUACUCCCAGGGAUGGAAUUACUGGGUCAUAGGGCUUACUUAUGUUCAGCUUAAGUAGGACAUAGUUUUCCAAAGUGGUUGCCAACUUAAACUCCUUGCUAACGUUUAGUAUUGUCUUUUUAAUCUUAGCCAUUCUGGUAGAUAGGUAAUGGUAUGAAAUUGUGGUUUUAACUGUAUUUCCCUAAUUACUAACACAAUUGAGAACUUUAAAAAAUAUAUUUAUGUUUGUUUGGAUAACCUCUUUAAUGAAGUGUCUGCUUAGGUGUUUUGCCCAUUUUUCUAUUGGGCUUUAUUUUUAAACUGAUUUGUAGGAGCUCUUUAUAUUUUUUCAAUAGGAACCUUGUGAGCUAUGUCUGUAGUGAGUAUCUUCCCCCUGUGGCUUGGGUUUUCACUCUCUUAAUGGUAUCUUUUGAUGAAUAGAGGUUCUUCAUUUUAAUACAGUCUGAUUUAUGAACCGUUCCCUAUACAGCUAAUAGUUUUCGAGUACGCUGUGAGAAACUUUUGCCUACUCCAAAAUUAUAUUUUCUUCUAAAAGCUUUCUUCUUCCACCUUGUCCAUUUAGAUCUGCAGUCUCUCUGGCCUAGAUUUUUGUGCAUAGUCUAAGGUAGGGAAGAAGAUAUAUUUUUCCCCAUAUGGAUAUUUGGUGGACCCAGCACCAUUUAUUGAAAAGACCAUCUUCUCCCCCACUGCUCUGCAGAGCAGCUCUUUUCAAAAAUCAAGUGUCCAAAUAUGUGAGGGCCUCUGCUUCUGAACUAGCUGUUCUUUUCCAUGGGUUUAGUCAGCUAUCCUUGCAGAAUACAAGCUUUAGAAAAAGACUUGGUAUUUGUCCCUCAAAAAAAGCUCCCAUUUUUUUCUCAGAUUAUCUAGUAGUUAUCUGAUUAUUCUAAUCCUUUGCAUGUGAACAUAAAUUAUAGAUAUAUGUGAAAAAGCACCCAUGAUUUGAUUUGUAGUGUGUUGGAUCUGUAGAAGAAUUUGGAGAGAAUUAAUAUCUUUACAAUAUGAAGUAUUCCAAUCAAUGGGCAUAUUAUAGCCCUACAUUUAUUGAGGCACUCUUUAAUUUCAGCAGCAUCCUGCAGAUUUUGUGUCAAGGCCUUGUAUAUCCUUUACUAGAUUGUCUAGAUAUUUGAUAGAUUUUGAUGCUACUGUAAAUAGUACCUUUUGUUUAAAAACUCCAUUUUCUAAUCAUUAGUUUGAUAUAUUUAAAUACAGCAGAUUUUUGUAUAUUGGCGUUACAUCCAGCGAUCUUGUGAAAUUUACUUAAGUUUAUCUGUAACCAUUCUUGUGGAUUUUCUACAUACAUAACCAUGCUAUUUGAGAAUAAUGAUAGUUGGCUGGGCGUGGUGGCUCACGCCUGUAAUCCCAGCACUAUGGGAGGCUGAGGUGGGUGGGUCACCUGAGGUCAGGAGUUUGAGACCAGCCUGGCCAACAUGGUGAAACCCCG
rnacentral:lncRNA from 10 species